CCUUGUACACACCGCCCGUCACACCAUGGGAGUGGGUUUCACCAGAAGUAGGUAGCUUAACCUUCGGGAGGGCGCUUACCACGGUGAGAUUCAUGACUGGGGUG
rnacentral:rRNA from 1 species